rnacentral:lncRNA from 1 species
GCCAUUCAUGCCACCAACCAGGUGAUGAAAUGUACAACCAGUACUCUAAUAUCAUUUGGCAACUAGCCAUUCAUGCCACCAACCAGGUGAUGAAAUGUACAACCCGUACUCUCCUUCAUGCCACCAACCAGGUGAUCAAAAGUACGCCCAGUACUCGAAAUUAUACAUGAGCAUUACUCAUGUCAUUCAUACAUAAACAUUCAUGAGCAUCACUCAUGACAAUCAUACAUAAACAUUCAUGAGCAUCACUCAUGUUAACAUUCAUGAGCAUCACUCAUGACAACAUCCAUGAGCAUCACUC